UACGGAGGGUGCAAGCGUUAUCCGGAUUUACUGGGUUUAAAGGGUGUGUAGGCGGACUUUUAAGUCAGCGGUGAAAUCUCCGGGCUCAACCCGGAAACUGCCAUUGAUACUAUUGGUCUUGAAUGUUGUUGAGUGGGCGGAACGGGUCUGUAGCGGUGAAAUGCAUAGAUAUGACCCGGAACACCGAUUGCGAAGGCAGCCCACUAAGCAAUAUUGACGCUGAG
rnacentral:rRNA from 1 species